CAUUAUGCCUGGAAUGGUUUAUGUUUCAAAUAAUUUAUUGCCGUAGGAUGGGACUGCGGCCUAUCAGUUUGUUGGUGAGGUAAUGGCCCACCAAGACUAUUACAGGUACGGGCUCUGAGAGGAGUAGCCCGGAGAUGGGUACUGAGACACGGACCCAGGCCCUAUGGGGCGCAGCAGGCGAGAAAACUUUGCAAUGUGCGAAAGCACGACAAGGUUAAUCCGAGUGGUUUCUGCUAAAGGAACCUUUUGUCAGUCCUAGAAACACUGAUGAAUAAGGGGUGGGCAAGUUCUGGUGUCAGCCGCCGCGGUAAAACCAGCACCUCAAGUGGUCAGGAUGAUUAUUGGGCCUAAAGCAUCCGUAGCCUGCUUUGUAAGUUUUCGGUUAAAUCCAUACGCUCAACGUAUGGGCUGCCGGGAAUACUGCAAAGCUAGGGAGUGGGAGAGGUAGACGGUACUCGGUAGGAAGGGGUAAAAUCCUUUGAUCUAUUGAUGACCACCUGUGGCGAAGGCGGUCUACCAGAACACGUCCGACGGUGAGGGAUGAAAGCUGGGGGAGCAAACCGGAUUAGAUACCC
rnacentral:rRNA from 1 species